UUUUUGACAUUGCACUUGACUUGAUAAACUACUGCUCAAUGGAACCAGAUAUUGAUGCAUUAAAUUAGAAGUAGUUGCAAUUCUCAGUGAAUAUUCAAGGUGCUCAUCAGAUAAUUUGGUUCUAAUUUUACUCUUAGUGUGCUUCAUUCUU